AACAUUAAAAAAAUACAAGUUUGAUACGCGAGAGAAACUGAUCUCAAUCGCAGAAACAUGUUCAAGAGAACUUGAUAUGUGGUAAACACAUAGAACUUGUCAUUCUUCCCAGAUGAAAAUCUGAUACUUUAUUUAUACUAUCGAGCCAUUGCAUAAUAUAAACACUAUAAUAAUUACACAAGUCCUAAUCAAUAAAUCUAUAACUGAAC
rnacentral:lncRNA from 1 species